AGGAUGAACGCUAGCGGCAGGCUUAAUACAUGCAAGUCGUGGGGCAGCAUGGUGUAGCAAUACACUGAUGGCGACCGGCAAACGGGUGCGGAACACGUACGCAACCUUCCUUUAACUGGAGAAUAGCCCGGGGAAACCCGGAUUAAUACUCCGUAACAUUAUGAAGUGGCAUCACUUUAUAAUUAUAGCUCCGGCGGUUGAAGAUGGGCGUGCGUCUGGUUAGGUAGUUGGCGGGGUAACGGCCCACCAAGCCUACGAUCAGUAACUGGUGUGAGAGCACGACCAGUCACACGGGCACUGAGACACGGGCCCGACUCCUACGGGAGGCAGCAGUAAGGAAUAUUGGUCAAUGGACGCAAGUCUGAACCAGCCAUGCCGCGUGGAUGAUGAAGGCCUUCGGGUUGUAAAGUUCUUUUAGUGGAGAAAUAAUGAUGGUAUCCACAGAAAACGCCCGGACUAACUUCGUGCCAGCAGCCGC
rnacentral:rRNA from 1 species